rnacentral:rRNA from 1 species
UCAUAUGUACAUGCCUACACUGUUAAUGCACUGGAUCCCAUUAGAACUCUAGAGUUAAGUGUGAUUGGGAUAGACUAGUAUUGGGAUGUGUUAGUCCCUAAAGUUGCACUUGACUGUGAGAG